rnacentral:rRNA from 1 species
GGCCUGGAAUAACACGAGGAAACUUGUGCUAAUACCGGAUAAGUCUUUACAGAGAAAGCUUUAUGCACCAUUGGAUGAGCCCGCACUUGAUUAGUUUGUUGGUGGGGUAAUGGCCUACCAAGACUUUGAUCAAUAGCUGAUUUGAGAGGAUGAUCAGCCACAUUGGGACUGAGACACGGCCCAAACUCCUACGGGAGGCAGCAGUGGGGAAUCUUGCACAAUGGAGGAAACUCUGAUGCAGCGAUGCCGCGUGAGUGAAGAAGGCCUUUGGGUUGUAAAGCUCUUUCGUCGGGGAAGAAAAUGACUGUACCCGAAUAAGAAGGUCCGGCUAACUUCGUGCCAGCAGCCGCGGUAAUACGAAGGGACCUAGCGUAGUUCGGAAUUACUGGGCUUAAAGAGUUCGUAGGUUGUUGAAAAAGUUGGUGGUGAAGUCCCAGAGCUUAACUCUGGAACUGCCAUCAAAACUUUUCAGCUAGAGUUUGAUAGAGGAAAGCAGAAUUUCUAGUGUAGAGGUGAAAUUCGUAGAUAUUAGAAAGAAUACCAAUUGCGAAGGCAGCUUUCUGGAUCAUUACUGACACUGAGGAACGAAAGCAUGGGUAGCGAAGAGGAUUAGAUACCCUCGUAGUCCAUGCCGUAAACGAUGUGUGUUAGACGUUGGAAAUUUAUUUUCAGUGUCGCAGCGAAAGCGAUAAACACACCGCCUGGGGAGUACGAC